ensembl:lncRNA
GUUUCUAUUUCUUAGUGAAUAACCUGACUGGGAAAAAUUUGUAGCAGCCAGCCAAUCGGAUUGUGUGCAGUUUGCAUCAGACUGGUCUCUGGGUGUGCUGUCUAAGGCCAAGACUGCAUAAAGGAGGGAAGAGAGUGAGGUGGAUGAAAAGGGCAGAGCGCAUCCUGAAAUUCGUUCUCCAAUUUAAGUGACCUCUUUGUCUGCCUCCUGGAAGAAUGUUAUAUUUGUCUGGAUCUUAUGCAUCAUUCAGCUGUUUUCAAUGUGCAGAGGAGAGGGAAGGAGACAGGCGCCAUCUUAGUACCAGGAUGGCUGUUUUUUUCAGGAUGAAAUAAGAUAUUUUACAACAACAAUUGUUAAGCAUGUUGUACUUGGCUGUUUCCCCGCUUAGCCAGAAGAGAAAAACUCAAGUGUGAGUGGAAAUCAUACUGUAUCCACUCUGAGCAGCAUAUUGUUAUAUGAUAUUUUAUAAACACAACGAGCCUAGGCUCCUCACAGCUUACUUUGGCUGAGAGAGCUCUGCAAAUUGCCAUAUUAAACUGUAGUGGUCAACAACAAGGGUUUUAUUUGUAUCAUUCUCUAUUUUUGAAUGUUGUAUAUG